GAUGAACGCUAGCUACAGGCUUAACACAUGCAAGUCGAGGGGAAACGACAUCGAAAGCUUGCUUUUGAUGGGCGUCGACCGGCGCACGGGUGAGUAACGCGUAUCCAACCUGCCCACCACUUGGGGAUAACCUUGCGAAAGUAAGACUAAUACCCAAUGACGUCUCUAGAAGACAUCUGAAAGAGAUUAAAGAUUUAUCGGUGAUGGAUGGGGAUGCGUCUGAUUAGCUUGUUGGCGGGGUAACGGCCCACCAAGGCGACGAUCAGUAGGGGUUCUGAGAGGAAGGUCCCCCACAUUGGAACUGAGACACGGUCCAAACUCCUACGGGAGGCAGCAGUGAGGAAUAUUGGGCAAUGGACGAGAGUCUGAACCAGCCAAGUAGCGUGCAGGAGGACGGCCCUAUGGGUGGUAAACUGCUUUUAUAAGGGAAUAAAGUGAGUCUCGUGAGACUUUUUGCAGGUACCUUAUGAAUAAGGACCGGCUAAUUCCGUG
rnacentral:rRNA from 1 species